CCUGAACCUGAACCUGGACCUGAACCGGAACCUGAACCUGAACCUGAACCUGAACCUGAACCAAGCUGUGUGUCCAUGAAGAGUGUCCAGUCCAUGGAGACACCACUACUUUAAAAAACAAGGCGACCUGUAAGGGAGAUUAAAAUGGAGAAAAGUAUGAGGGAGCAAAUUGAAAUGGAGAGGAGGAAAAUGGAAAUAAAGAGCCGAAGACUGAGGUGAGUUGUUCUGAAACCUCCAACAAACUAGAAGUAGUGUUGUCUCAUUGGGUGUGUGGUCUUCUUGUAGAGGGUCUCUGUGUUUCCAGCCCACUGUAGCCUGUCAUCCAGGUGAACUCUGGGAUAUCUAUGGUCCUGUUUUCAUCUGGUAUUAAAAUCUGAUCUGAGUGAUCUCUCAGACCCCCCCGGCUCUCUGUUCCCCGCUGGUACCUGGAAAAGGUGGCCACCGGUAUACAAUAAACUUAUUAUUAGUUUCAUAAAACAUCCCCUAAUUCACCAGUAUGUAGGAUAUUACUACACUACACUGUACUAUUACUACAGACAUUCCUGCUGUUAUGUCUCCUUUAGUUAUUUAUUAGCCUCUCAUUGGCAGAUCUCCACAGCUCUGAGUGAACUAGGGAGCUGAUUGGUCAAAGCAGCAGCUGUGAAAUGGUUUCAUUUACUUUAUGAAGUCAGCAACAUUACUAAACAUUUGGGAGAACCAACUCCUCCUGAACAACAGGGGCAUCUUAUUACAGUAGAAUCUCAUAAAGGAUAUUUUUAUUGAUUUUAAUCAACGUGUUUCUGUCAGAAAGUAAGUCAUUAUUGGCAUUUAUUUUUAAUAAUUAGGCUUAUAUACAUAUUUAUCUUAAUUAUAUAUUUCUCAGUUAUGUUAUGCAGGGAGUCUUUAACUGAACAUGUGAUCUUCAAUAAAUGUAUUUUUCUAUGAGGACCAGACCAGAGUCUCCUGAAUGUGGAUAUGCAUCCAGCUGUGUUUCCUUUAAGAGCAACCGGUCAAAGGAGGAUGGGAUUAAUUUUAAACGUGUUUCUGACAAAAUGACCAGACCAGAUUCUCCUGAAUCUGGAUAUGCAUCCAGCUGUGUUUCCUUUAAGAGCAACUGGUCAAAGGAGGAUUGGGUUGAUUUUAAACGUGUUUCUGAGGAAACGGUGGAGCCUGCUGGAGUCAGAUGGUUGACACCAGGUCUGA